UACGAAGGGGGCUAGCGUUACUCGGAUUGACUGGGCGUAAAGGGCGCGUGGGCGGCAUGCACAGUCAGGCGUGAAAUUCCUGGGCUCAACCUGGGGGCUGCGCUUGAUACAUGUGUGCUUGAGUUCGGAAGAGGGUCGUGGAAUUCCCAGUGUAGAGGUGAAAUUCGUAGAUAUUGGGAAGAACACCGGUGGCGAAGGCGGCGACCUGGUCCGAUACUGACGCUGAGGCGCGAAAGCGUGGGGAGCAAACAGG
rnacentral:rRNA from 1 species